CCCUUCUCCGCCCCCUCCUCGUGCUGGGCGGGGCUGGGUUCUGACGCCCCUCACGGCCGUCGGCCCCAAAGCUAACGCUCUGCCUGAGGAAGUUCGUCCGGGGGCUCUUUUCGGAAGCGCCGUGGUAGCCAGGGCCCUCAGUUGUGAUUUUUUCCAAGUUUACGGAAGCAACCAAACUUUAUACCUUAGGUAUACUGAGGUUCUCUAAGAAGUACAUCUUCCAUCGACUUUUUAGGCAAGAACUUUAGGAACCUGUGGCAUCUUGAGGAGCAGCGAGCCGGAGUAGGGAAAUCCUUCACCCACCUUCAGGAAGUCUUGGAACACUGUGUUAGACAGGAUUCCUGACAAUAAGAGCACCUUGGAUAAAAUCCCCUGGAGGAGGACAGUGGGCUCCUGAAGAGCAAGGUCUCCGCCUGGUCGUCUUCAGACCAGGACGCCCGAGCUAAUCCAGAGAGAUGUGCUCUUCAGAUACCGUUCCACUGCCUGCUCACCCAUAUGGAACAUCCUUCAAUCCUCUUUCAUAGACAUGACUGCCUUACUCCAGCCAGAAGAAAUUAAACUGAUUUGGUUAUUUAGGAAAACGGGCUCACAAGUUUCUGGAAGAAGAGGUCAAAGCAGACACUCACAGUUCCUUUCAAGGAUAU